GGAUCCAGACUUUGAUCAUGGCUCAGGAUGAACGCUAGCUACAGGCUUAACACAUGCAAGUCGAGGGGCAGCAUGAACUUAGCUUGCUAAGUUUGAUGGCGACCGGCGCACGGGUGAGUAACACGUAUCCAACCUUCCGUUUACUCAGGGAUAGCCUUUCGAAAGAAAGAUUAAUACCUGAUAGUAUGGUGAGAUUGCAUGAUAACACCAUUAAAGAUUUAUUGGUAAACGAUGGGGAUGCGUUCCAUUAGGUAGUAGGCGGGGUAACGGCCCACCUAGCCUGCGAUGGAUAGGGGUUCUGAGAGGAAGGUCCCCCACAUUGGAACUGAGACACGGUCCAAACUCCUACGGGAGGCAGCAGUGAGGAAUAUUGGUCAAUGGGCGAGAGCCUGAACCAGCCAAGUAGCGUGAAGGAUGAAGGUCCUACGGAUUGUAAACUUCUUUUAUACGGGAAUAAAGUAUCCUACGUGUAGGAUUUUGUAUGUACCGUAUGAAUAAGCAUCGGCUAACUCCGUGCCAGCAGCCGCGGUAAUACGGAGGAUGCGAGCGUUAUCCGGAUUUAUUGGGUUUAAAGGGAGCGCAGACGGGAGAUUAAGUCAGUUGUGAAAGUUUGCGGCUCAACCGUAAAAUUGCAGUUGAUACUGGUUUCCUUGAGUGCAGUUGAGGCAGGCGGAAUUCGUGGUGUAGCGGUGAAAUGCUUAGAUAUCACGAAGAACCCCGAUUGCGAAGGCAGCUUGCUAAACUGUAACUGACGUUCAUGCUCGAAAGUGUGGGUAUCAAACAGGAUUAGAUACCCUGGUAGUCCACACGGUAAACGAUGGAUACUCGCUGUUGGCGAUAUACUGUCAGCGGCCAAGCGAAAGCAUUAAGUAUCCCACCUGGGGAGUACGCCGGCAACGGUGCAACUCAAAGGAAUUGACGG
rnacentral:rRNA from 1 species